GGGGGAUAUUGCACAAUGGGGGAAACCCUGAUGCAGCGAUGCCGCGUGGAGGAAGAAGGUUUUCGGAUUGUAAACUCCUGUCGUAAGGGAAGAGGAAGGACUGUACCUUACAAGAAAGCUCCGGCUAACUACGUGCCAGCAGCCGCGGUAAUACGUAGGGAGCGAGCGUUGUCCGGAAUGACUGGGUGUAAAGGGAGCGUAGGCGGGAUGGCAAGUCAGAUGUGAAACCUGAGGGCUCAACCUUCAGACUGCAUUUGAAACUGCUGUUCUUGAGUGAAGUAGAGGUAAGCGGAAUUCCUGGUGUAGCGGUGAAAUGCGUAGAGAUCAGGAGGAACAUCGGUGGCGAAGGCGGCUUACUGGGCUUUUACUGACGCUGAGGCUCGAAAGCGUGGGGAGCAAACAGGAUUAGAUACCCUGGUAGUCCACGCUGUAAACGAUGAUUACUAGGUGUGGGGGGAUUGACCCCUUCCGUGCCGCAGUUAACACAAUAAGUAAUCCACCUGGGGAGUACGACCGCAAGGUUGAAACUCAAAGGAAUUGACGGGGGCCCGCACAAGCAGUGGAGUAUGUGGUUUAAUUCGAAGCAACGCGAAGAACCUUACCAGGUCUUGACAUCGAGUGACGUAUCCAGAGAUGGAUAUUUCCUUCGGGACACAAAGACAGGUGGUGCAUGGUUGUCGUCAGCUCGUGUCGUGAGAUGUUGGGUUAAGUCCCGCAACGAGCGCAACCCUUAUCAUUAGUUGCUACGCAAGAGCACUCUAAUGAGACUGCCGUUGACAAAACGGAGGAAGGUGGGGAUGACGUCAAAUCAUCAUGCCCCUUAUGACCUGGGCUACACACGUACUACAAUGGCGAUCAAACAGAGGGAAGCAAGACAGCGAUGUGGAGCCAAUCCCAAAAAAUCGCCCCAGUUCAGAUUGCAGGCUGCAACUCGCCUGCAUGAAGUCGGAAUUGCUAGUAAUCGCAGAUCAGCAUGCUGCGGUGAAUACGUUCCCG
rnacentral:rRNA from 1 species